rnacentral:rRNA from 1 species
UGGGGAAUAUUGCACAAUGGGGGAAACCCUGAUGCAGCGACGCCGCGUGAAGGAAGAAGUAUCUCGAUAUGUAAACUUCUAUCAGCAGGGAAGAUAGUGACGGUACCUGACUAAGAAGCCCCGGCUAACUACGUGCC